GUAGGUGAACCUGCGGAAGGAUCAUUACAGAGUUCAUGCCCUUCGGGGUAGAUCUCCCACCCUUGUGUAUCAUUAUAGAAUGUUGCUUUGGCGGGCCGCGCCUCGUGCGCCUAGAUUCGCGUCUAGCGUGCCCGCCAGAGGACCCCUAAACUCUGAAUGAUAGUGUCGUCUGAGUACUAUUAAAUAGUUAAAACUUUCAACAACGGAUCUCUUGGCUCUC
rnacentral:misc_RNA from 1 species